CGAGGGGCAGCAUGGUCUUAGCUUGCUAAGGCCGAUGGCGACCGGCGCACGGGUGAGUAACACGUAUCCAACCUGCCGUCUACUCUUGGACAGCCUUCUGAAAGGAAGAUUAAUACAAGAUGGCAUCAUGAGUCCGCAUGUUCACAUGAUUAAAGGUAUUCCGGUAGACGAUGGGGAUGCGUUCCAUUAGAUAGUAGGCGGGGUAACGGCCCACCUAGUCUUCGAUGGAUAGGGGUUCUGAGAGGAAGGUCCCCCACAUUGGAACUGAGACACGGUCCAAACUCCUACGGGAGGCAGCAGUGAGGAAUAUUGGUCAAUGGGCGAGAGCCUGAACCAGCCAAGUAGCGUGAAGGAUGACUGCCCUAUGGGUUGUAAACUUCUUUUAUAAAGGAAUAAAGUCGGGUAUGGAUACCCGUUUGCAUGUACUUUAUGAAUAAGGAUCGGCUAACUCCGUGCCAGCAGCCGCGGUAAUACGGAGGAUCCGAGCGUUAUCCGGAUUUAUUGGGUUUAAAGGGAGCGUAGAUGGAUGUUUAAGUCAGUUGUGAAAGUUUGCGGCUCAACCGUAAAAUUGCAGUUGAUACUGGAUAUCUUGAGUGCAGUUGAGGCAGGCGGAAUUCGUGGUGUAGCGGUGAAAUGCUUAGAUAUCACGAAGACUCCGAUUGCGAAGGCAGCCUGCUAAGC
rnacentral:rRNA from 1 species